rnacentral:rRNA from 1 species
GACGAAGGUGGCAAGCGUUGUUCGGAAUCACUGGGCUUAAAGAGCACGUAGGCGGCCUGUCAAGCGUCCUGUGAAAGCCCUCGGCUCAACCGAGGAAUUGCAGGGCGAACUGGCAGGCUUGAGGCAGGUAGAGGCGAGUGGAACUCUUGGUGGAGCGGUGGAAUGCGUAGAUAUCAAGAGGAACGCCGGUGGCGAAAGCGACUCGCUGGGCCUGACCUGACGCUCAGGUGCGAAAGCCAGGGGAGCAAACGGG